GUGACCUACGGGGGGCAGCAGUCGAGAAUCAUUCACAAUGGGGGAAACCCUGAUGGUGCGACGCCGCGUGGGGGAAUGAAGGUCUUCGGAUUGUAAACCCCUGUCAUGUGGGAGCAAAUUAAAAAGAUAGUACCACAAGAGGAAGACACGGCUAACUCUGUGCCAGCAGCCGCGGUAAUACAGAGGUCUCAAGCGUUGUUCGGAAUCACUGGGCGUAACGCGUGCGUUGGCUGUUUCGUAAGUCGCGUGUGAAAGGCGCGGGCUCACCCCGCGGACGGCCCCU
rnacentral:rRNA from 1 species